rnacentral:tRNA from 1 species
GGGAGUGUGGCUUAGUGGUAGAGUACUUGCCUAGCAAGCAUAAAACCCUAGGUUCAAUCCUCAGCACCA